rnacentral:rRNA from 1 species
AUUGAACGCUGGCGGCAGGCCUAACACAUGCAAGUCGAGCGGAUGAAGGGAGCUUGCUCCCUGAUUUAGCGGCGGACGGGUGAGUAAUGCCUAGGAAUCUGCCUGGUAGUGGGGGACAACGUUUCGAAAGGAACGCUAGUACCGCAUACGUCCUACGGGAGAAAGUGGGGGAUCUUCGGACCUCACGCUAUCAGAUGAGCCUAGGUCGGAUUAGCUAGUUGGUGAGGUAAAGGCUCACCAAGGCGACGAUCCGUAACUGGUCUGAGAGGAUGAUCAGUCACACUGGAACUGAGACACGGUCCAGACUCCUACGGGAGGCAGCAGUGGGGAAUAUUGGACAAUGGGCGAAAGCCUGAUCCAGCCAUGCCGCGUGUGUGAAGAAGGUCUUCGGAUUGUAAAGCACUUUAAGUUGGGAGGAAGGGCAGUAAGUUAAUACCUUGCUGCUUUGACGUUACCAACAGAAUAAGCACCGGCUAACUUCGUGCCAGCAGCCGCAGUAAUAC